AGAAAUGACAGUGGAUUUGCAAAGAUUUACCCACUAGCCCAUCUUGCAGUUCACUCUCUCAGUAGUGAGUUUCCACUGACAAAUGAGAACAAGACUCCUGAAAACUGGCCUGCAUUAUUUGUAGUCCCUUAAACGUGGUGUUAGCAUCAGCUAUAUCCAUCAAACCGGGGAAAGGGGCGGAAUGCUCUGCUGCCAUCAUUCAUAAAGCUGGGAAACCUGCUUCAGCAUCUGUUUGCUCUGCCAGAUUUUGAUAACAAGAUGAUGCCGCCCUCAUGCCAAGAUUUCAGAGUCUUACUUUGGUUUCUACACUCUGAAAAAAUGUAUGUAAGAUUAAAAGUACAUAUUCCUUAAAUUUUAUUAUGUUUGGUAAAAUCAUCUCACUUAUUAUUUCUUCUUGAACCACUUUUGCAGGUUAUCUUCGCCAAAAUGUAUCCAUUUUGUUAGUUUCAGACUCCUGGGGAAAGCUGUAAUAUCCCUUUUAAACAUCCUCAUUUAUACAUGAUUCUGUCCCUUUUACAUCACAAUAUUGUUUAUUUAUAAAUUCUCUAGGUUUAUUUUUUUAUUAGGCUUACUAUAUUUGUCUCUAUUAGUAUUUUCAAAGAAGCAACGUUUGGCUUAGUUAUUCUUCAUAUUAUAUGUUUAUUUCCUAUUUCAUUAAUUUCUGUUAUCUUUUUUAUUUUAAACCUUCUAUUUUCUUUAUGUUUAUUCACUUGUUCUUUUUACACAUUAAAUUGGAUGCUUGGAUUAAUACUUUUUAAAUUUGUUUUCCAAUAUAAGGCCCAGUCCUUUUAAACCUCUAGUAAAAUAGUUACAACUUUCUACACGGUCCAAAAAUAAGGGGAACGGAAUCAUGCUUUUUAAGGCUUAAGGUAGGGAUCCCAACAAGAUGCCUGUGUAAAGGCUAUAAAUGACAUUUUAAGAUUGGAUGUUAAGUAAAGAAAUAUAUUUAAAACUGCUGGUCACUAUUUCACUACCCAACUGGGAUGUAAACUCUAGGAGGGCAGGGACUUUUGUUUCUCACUGAUAUACCCUCAGUGCCAGAACAGUACCUGAAACAUGGUAGGCAUUUAAUACAUACCUUUUUUUGAGUGUAUUAAAUGAAUCUGACAGGUAAAUAUGUAGUAAGGUUACUUUUUUUUUAAAAUAUAUUUUAUUGAUUUUUCACAGAGAGGAAGAGAGAGGGAUAGAGAGUUAGAAACAUCAAUGAGAGAGAAACAUCGAUCAGCAGCCUCUUGCAUACCUCCUACUGGGGAUGUGCCCGCAACCAAGGUACAUGCCCUUGGCCGGAAUCGAACCUGGGACCUUUCAGUCUGCAGGCCGGCGCUCUAUCCACUGAGCCAAACUGGUCAGGGCAGGUUACUUUUAUAAAUCUUAGUGAAUUAAAUUAUUUUAGAUAGCACUAUUAGAAUAUUUCACACUUGAUAUGUUAAUCAUGAUACCUAAAAACUUUUCAAAACCAGGCAAUUAUGCUCAUUCAGAAUGUACUUUUCCUUCAUUUUAGCUGAGCAUUUCCAUUUCCUUCUAUAUCAUGUUAAGUUUUAAGUGUUCAUAGUAAUACCACAAGGUGGCACACAAAACCUCAUAAAAACAUUUCUGGAUUGUUUUUUGUCAAAAUUUUACUGUAUAUUCAUCCUAUCAAAAACCUCCUUAAAUCCAGGCAAGAGAGACCCCACUCUGGACCCUUUGCUUGAGGACUAGAUUCUGCCUGCUGGAGUCUAUGUCCUUCCCUGUAGGGUGAGACCACAGGGCCUAGAGACAUGGCCCUUCUCCCCUGGCAGCUUUUCUGGUCAGUUCCAGGAGGGUGGAUAGACAGCUGGAGAGCACAUUCCCAGGCUGGGCUGGUCAAGGAGCAUGUAGAAGCUGGGAUGGGUUUUCCUUGGGAGAGGAUGGAGUUGGGGCAAAAAGGCUCUCUGAGACCAGCUCUCCCUGCUUUGCCACUCAUCAAUACAGGGCUUGAAGAGCCCAAGAAUUCUGGAAACUUAAGGAAGGCAUAUUUGCCAAGGAUAGGAAUAGAUAAUUAGCUAGAUUUAUCACUCUAAAAAGUCAGGUAUAUGGUAUGUGGACCUGUAUUUUCACUCUUGACAGAGCCCGGCAACCAUUAGAGACAAGACUAUGUGUAUAUAUAUAAUCUGUGUGCAUUUGCUUACUAAAAAUCUGUAUUUGGAACUUCUACAUUACAAUACUGGGAUUUCAGUAAUAAAAUUAGCUUUUUAUUUGAAUAGCUUGUAUUGACUAUUUAUUAGGAAAAUAACUUUCAUCAUAUAUGGCCUCUAACAGAAUUUGCAAACAAAGUGUACAAUUCAAUGAAUGUUAUUAUUUUCAGAGUCAUGCAGCCACCACCACUAACUUUAGAACAUUGUCAUCACCGCAAAAAUAAACCUAUACCCAUCAGCAGUGUGUGUAGCUUUAACCGCUGUAAUGUGAGUAGGAAGGAUGUGCAUAACUUCACCUCAAAUCUUCGCAGAGUUAGUGCUUGUGUUGUACAUGGCUUAUUUGGUCCACAUUCCUUUCCAGACUGUAAGUCCCUUAUGAGGAUCAGACACAGGCCUGACUCAUCUUUUCAUUUAUCCACAGUAUUCUUCAAAGUGCUUUAUAACAAAUAUUUGAUGAGUAAAAUUAUAAACAACAUAGAAAUGAUAGUUUAAAAUCUUUGAUAUCAGUUAUUUUAUCAUUAAUAUUCAUUUCCUUUUUAAUAUUUACUUAAGACUGUGGGAAAAAUAUUAUUAAUGAAUGAUUUUGGGUCUAAAAUAUAUUAUGAAAAUGCACAAAUGUUUUCAAAUCAAUAUAUAGUUUCAGAUUCUAAUCCUGAGACUA